UACGUAGGUGGCGAGCGUUGUCCGGAUUUAUUGGGCGUAAAGCGCGCGCAGGUGGUUGGGUAAGUCUGCCGUGAAAUCUCCUGGCUCAACCGGGAGGGGGCGGUGGAGACUGCCUGACUGGAGGCACUCAGAGGCCGGUGGAAUUCCAGGUGUAGCGGUGAAAUGCGUAGAUAUCUGGAGGAACACCGGUGGCGAAGGCGGCAUCCUGGACCGGUAUUGACGCUGAGGCGCGAAAGCUAGGGGAGCAAACGGG
rnacentral:rRNA from 1 species